GAUGAACGCUGGCGGCGUGCCUAAUACAUGCAAGUCGAGCGAACGGACGAGAAGCUUGCUUCUCUGAUGUUAUCGGCGGACGGGUGAGUAACACGUGGAUAACCUACCUAUAAGACUGGGAUAACUUCGGGAAACCGGAGCUAAUACCGGAUGAUAUUUUGAACCGCAUGGUUCAAAAGUGAAAGACGGUCUUGCUGUCACUUAUAGAUGGAUCCGCGCUGCAUUAGCUAGUUGGUAAGGUAACGGCUUACCAAGGCAACGAUGCAUAGCCGACCUGAGAGGGUGAUCGGCCACACUGGAACUGAGACACGGUCCAGACUCCUACGGGAGGCAGCAGUGGGGAAUCUUCCGCAAUGGGCGAAAGCCUGACGGAGCAACGCCGCGUGAGUGAUGAAGGUCUUCGGAUCGUAAAACUCUGUUAUUAGGGAAGAACAUAUGUGUAAGUAACUGUGCACAUCUUGACGGUACCUAAUCAGAAAGCCACGGCUAACUACGUG
rnacentral:rRNA from 1 species